AUAUGGAAGAACACCAGUGGCGAAGGCGGCUGUCUGGUCUGCAACUGACGCUGAGGCUCGAAAGCAUGGGUAGCGAACAGGAUUAGAUACCCUGGUAGUCCAUGCCGUAAACGAUGAGUGCUAGGUGUUGGGGGGUUUCCGCCCUUCAGUGCCGGAGCUAACGCAUUAAGCACUCCGCCUGGGGAGUACGACCGCAAGGUUGAAACUCAAAGGAAUUGACGGGGGCCCGCACAAGCGGUGGAGCAUGUGGUUUAAUUCGAAGCUACGCGAAGGAACCUUACCAGGUCUUGACAUCUUGCGCUAACCUUAGAGAUAAGGCGUUCCCUUCGGGGACGCAAUGACAGGUGGUGCAUGGUCGUCGUCAGCUCGUGUCGUGAGAUGUUGGGUUAAGUCCCGCAACGAGCGCAACCCUUGUUACUAGUUGCCAGCAUUAAGUUGGGCACUCUAGUGAGACUGCCGGUGACAAACCGGAGGAAGGUGGGGACGACGUCAGAUCAUCAUGCCCCUUAUGACCUGGGCUACACACGUGCUACAAUGGACGGUACAACGAGUCGCAAGCUCGCGAGAGUAAGCUAAUCUCUUAAAGCCGUUCUCAGUUCGGACUGUAGGCUGCAACUCGCCUACACGAAGUCGGAAUCGCUAGUAAUCGCGGAUCAGCAUGCCGCGGUGAAUACGUUCCCGGGCCUUGUACACACCGCCCGUCACACCAUGGGAGUUUGUAACGCCCAAAGUCGGUGGCCUAACCUUUAUGGAGGGAGCCGCCUAAGGCGGGACAGAUGACUGGGGUGAAGUCGUAACAAGGUA
rnacentral:rRNA from 2 species